rnacentral:rRNA from 1 species
AAGGAGACUGCCGGUGACAAACCGGAGGAAGGUGGGGAUGACGUCAAGUCAUCAUGGCCCUUACGGCCUGGGCUACACACGUGCUACAAUGGUCGGUACAAAGGGUUGCCAAGCCGCGAGGUGGAGCUAAUCCCAUAAAACCGAUCGUAGUCCGGAUCGCAGUCUGCAACUCGACUGCGUGAAGUCGGAAUCGCUAGUAAUCGUUGAAUCACGAAUGUCAACGGUAGAAUACGUUCCCGGGCCUU